UACGUAGGGGGCUAGCGUUGUCCGGAAUCAUUGGGCGUAAAGCGCGUGUAGGCGGUCCGGUAAGUCCGCUGUGAAAGUCGAGGGCUCAACCCUCGAAUGCCGGUGGAUACUGUCGGGCUUGAGUACGGGAGAGGCGAGUGGAAUUCCUGGUGUAGCGGUGAAAUGCGUAGAUAUCGCAGGAACACCCGUGGCGAAGGCGGCUCGCUGGACCGCAACUGACGCCUGAGGAACGAAAGCGUAGGGGAGCAAACAGG
rnacentral:rRNA from 1 species